rnacentral:miRNA from 3 species
UUCUCCAAAAGGGAGCACUUUC